GAUGAACGCUGGCGGCGUGCCUAAUACAUGCAAGUCGAGCGAACAGACGAGGAGCUUGCUCCUCUGACGUUAGCGGCGGACGGGUGAGUAACACGUGGAUAACCUACCUAUAAGACUGGGAUAACUUCGGGAAACCGGAGCUAAUACCGGAUAAUAUAUUGAACCGCAUGGUUCAAUAGUGAAAGACGGUUUUGCUGUCACUUAUAGAUGGAUCCGCGCCGCAUUAGCUAGUUGGUAAGGUAACGGCUUACCAAGGCAACGAUGCGUAGCCGACCUGAGAGGGGGAUCGGCCACACUGGAACUGAGACACGGUCCAGACUCCUACGGGAGGCAGCAGUAGGGAAUCUUCCGCAAUGGGCGAAGGCCUGACGGAGCAACGCCGCGUGAGUGAUGAAGGUCUUCGGAUCGUAAAACUCUGUUAUUAGGGAAGAACAAAUGUGUAAGUAACUAUGCACGUCUUGACGGUACCUAAUCAGAAAGCCACGGCUAACUACGUG
rnacentral:rRNA from 1 species